rnacentral:rRNA from 1 species
CAGUCGCCGCGGGAAUACGAAGGGUGCAAGCGUUAAUCGGAAUUACUGGGCGUAAAGGGUGCGUAGGCGGUUGUUUAAGUCUGUUGUGAAAUCCCCGGGCUCAACCUGGGAACGGCAAUGGAAACUGGACGGCUAGAGUGUGUCAGAGGAUGGUGGAAUUCCCGGUGUAGCGGCGAAAUGCGUAGAGGUCGGGAGGAACAUCAGUGGCGAAGGCGGCCAUCUGGGACAACACUGACGCUGAAGCACGAAAGCGUGGGGAGCAAACAGGAUUAGAUACCCCAGUAGUCCCUGUCUCUUAUAA